AGGGCUUUGGUUGGUCUUUCUGUCCUGCGUUCUUAUUGUGGUGGGCUAUAUGAGAGGUUGCAGCUGUUUUAAAACAUGCAUGUUGAUGCUUCAGACUACAUGCAGACUGGCACAGACAUGAUUGGAAGGGUUUUGUGCAUGGUGUGUAAUGAAGACUACCGUCUUACAGUGCUUCAGCAAAGUCCUGGGUGACUUUGAACAUGCUCCUGUGCCCUGGUUUAAAGAAACUCUAUAUUGGUGGUGUAAUCCUGACCUGUAUGGAUUACUGGUGCAAGCCUCCCACCUUCAAGUUGGACUACUGGGCAUCUUGUAUACAUCAUAAUGGAAGCUGGAUCCAGACAUUCUCUUGAAGAGUGAAGACCCAGUCGAGGUGACUUUGAACAUGCUCCUGUGCUCUGGUUUAAAGAAACUCCAUAUUGGUGGCAUAAUCCUGACCUAUAUGGAUUACUGGUGCAAGCCUUCCACCUUCAAGUUGGACUACUAGGCAUCCUGUAUACACCAUAAUGGAAGCUGGAUCCAGACAUUCUCUUGAAGAGUGAAGACCCAGUCGAGCUUGAGGGGAGAAUUUCAAGAGGACUCUGGUCGAAAAACAAGAGGAAAUGAACAUUCACUCCAAGAUGGCAGCUUUGUAUGUUAAGGCUAAGAUGCUGAGGAGCAGAUGUUGAGACAGAGUUGCAGGAACUGCUGGACCAGGAUGCCCCCCCCUCCCUGCACAUUGCUACUUCUCUAGUUUCAGCCAAUAAACAUUUGCAGAUACA